UCUAGUCAUAUGGAUUCCUACGGGAGGCAGCAGUGGGGAAUUGUUCACAAUGGGCGCAAGCCUGAUGACGCAACGCCGCGUGGAGGAUGAAGGUCUUCGGAUUGUAAACUCCUGUUGCUCGGGACGAAAAGCUUCGACCUAAUACGUUGAUGUCUGACGGUACCGAGUGAGGAAGCCCCGGCUAACUCUGUGCCAGCAGCCGCGGUAAUACAGAGGGGGCAAGCGUUGUUCGGAAUUACUGGGCGUAAGGGCGCGUAGGCGGCCCGCUAAGUCGAACGUGAAAUCCCCGAGCUCAACUCGGGAACUGCGUCCGAUACUGGCGGGCUUGAAUCCGGGAGAGGGAUGCGGAAUUCCAGGUGUAGCGGUGAAAUGCGUAGAUAUCUGGAGGAACACCGGUGGCGAAGGCGGCAUCCUGGACCGGCAUUGACGCUGAGGCGCGAAAGCUAGGGGAGCAAACGGGAUUAGAUACCCCGGUAGUCCUAGCCCUAAACGAUGAAUGCUUGGUGUGGCGGGUAUCGAUCCCUGCCGUGCCGAAGCUAACGCAUUAAGCAUUCCGCCUGGGGAGUACGGUCACAAGGCUGAAACUCAAAGGAAUUGACGGGGGCCCGCACAAGCGGUGGAGCAUGUGGUUUAAUUCGACGCAACGCGAAGAACCUUACCCAGGCUUGAACUGCAGAGGACACUCUACGAAAGUAGACUUCCGCAAGGACCUCUGUAGAGGUGCUGCAUGGCUGUCGUCAGGUCGUGUCGUGAGAUGUUGGGUUAU
rnacentral:rRNA from 1 species